UACGGAGGGAGCAAGCGUUAUCCGGAUUCACUGGGUUUAAAGGGAGCGUAGGUGGCUUUGUAAGUCAGUGGUGAAAUCUUAGAGCUUAACUCUAAAACUGCCAUUGAUACUGCUUAGCUUGAAUCACGUCGAGGUGGAUGGAAUAUUACAUGUAGCGGUGAAAUGCUUAGAUAUGUAAUAGAACACCGAUUGCGAAGGCAGUUCACUAGGCGUGUAUUGACACUGAGGCUCGAAAGCGUGGGGAUCAAACAGG
rnacentral:rRNA from 1 species